rnacentral:rRNA from 1 species
UAGUCCACGCCGUAAACGAUGGUCACUAGUUGUUGGGGUCUUGUACCUCAGUGAUUAAGAGAAAUUGAUAAGUGACCCACCUGGGGAGUACGAUCGCAAGAUUGAAACUCAAAGGAAUUGACGGGGGCCCGCACAAGCGGUGGAGCAUGUGGUUUAAUUCGAUGAUACGCGAGGAACCUUACCAGGGCUUAAAUGUAAGUUGCAUGAUUUAGAGAUAGAUCUUUCUUCGGACUACUUACAAGGUGCUGCAUGGUUGUCGUCAGCUCGUGCCGUGAGGUGUCAGGUUAAGUCCUAUAACGAGCGCAACCCCUACCGUUAGUUGCCAGCAUGUUAUGAUGGGGACUCUAGCGGGACUGCCGGUGCAAAUCGGAGGAAGGUGGGGACGACGUCAAGUCAUCAUGGCCCUUACGACUUGGGCUACACACGUGCUACAAUGGUCGGUACAGAGGGCAGCAAAGCGGCGACGUGGAGCCAAUCCCUUAAAACCGGUCGUAGUCCGGAUUGGAGUCUGC